GACGAACGCUGGCGGCGUGCUUAACACAUGCAAGUCGAACGAGUGGCGAACGGGUGAGUAAUACGUGGGUAACUACCUAUUAGAGGGGGAUAACUAUUGGAAACGAUAGCUAAUACCGCAUACUAGUAGAUGGACCUGCGUUGUAUUAGCUAGUAGGUAGGGUAAUGGCCUACCUAGGCAACGAUACAUAGCCGACCUGAGAGGGUGAGCGGCCACACUGGGACUGGUGCACGGCCCAGACUCCUACGGGAGGCAGCAGUAGGGAAACUUCGGCAAUUGGGGGAAACCUGACCGAGCAACGGCGCGUGAGUGAAGGAGGUUUUCGGGUCGUAAAGCUCUGUUGUUAAGGAAGCGGUACUUAACCAGAAAGGGACGGCUAACUACGUGCCAGCAGCCGCGGUAAUAC
rnacentral:rRNA from 1 species